CCACAACACACGGCGCACGCAAGUGCGCCUUACCCAAAACCCGUGCGCUUUCACAUACACUGCGCGUCGCGCGUCGGGGAGCUGGGCCAGCCGCGUUUUCGCUAACGCGGCGCCGCGCCCAAGGGCCCGAAGCGCGCGCGCGCACUUUAUAUAAAAGCCGUCAACUCGAAACUCAUACCAUGUGUAUCCAAACCAAAA
rnacentral:misc_RNA from 1 species